GAUGAAGAACGUAGCGAAAUGCGAUAAGUAAUGUGAAUUGCAGAAUUCAGUGAAUCAUCGAAUCUUUGAACGCACCUUGCGCCUUUUGGUAUUCCGAAAGGCACACCUGUUUGAGCGUCAUGAAUACCUCAAUCUCCAUCUUUUCUUCGGAUUGAUGGGUGACUUGGAUGUUGAGCCCUGCUGGUAUGCUAUAUCAGCUGGCUUUAAACUUAUUAGCCGGCUCUGUACUGGAUCGGUUUGACUCGACGUGAUAAUAUUAUCGUUGAGGAUGCAUGUCUCAUGCAGCCGGAAAGUAUCAAAGCAGCCUCUAGCUUGCCUUUAGUGCACUUUUACAUUUUAGACCUCAGAUCAGGUGGGACUACCCGCUGAACUUAAGCAUAUCAAUAAGCGGAGGA
rnacentral:misc_RNA from 1 species